CUGGUUGAUCCUGCCAGUUGUCAUAUGCUUGUCUCAAAGAUUAAGCCAUGCAUGUCUAAGUAUAAGCAACUUUGUACUGUGAAACUGCGAAUGGCUCAUUAAAUCAGUUAUCGUUUAUUUGAUAGUACCUUACUACUUGGAUAACCGUGGUAAUUCUAGAGCUAAUACAUGCUGAAAACCCCAACUUCGGGAGGGGUGUAUUUAUUAGAUAAAAAACCAACGCCCUUCGGGGCUUCUUGGUGAUUCAUGAUAACUUCACGGAUCGCAUGGCCUUGCGCCGGCGACGGUUCAUUCAAAUUUCUGCCCUAUCAACUUUCGAUGGUAAGGUAUUGGCUUACCAUGGUUUCAACGGGUAACGGGGAAUUAGGGUUCGAUUCCGGAGAGGGAGCCUGAGAAACGGCAACCACAUCCAAGGAAGGCAGCAGGCGCGCAAAUUACCCAAUCCCGACACGGGGAGGUAGUGACAAUAAAUAACAAUAUAGGGCUCUUUCGGGUCUUAUAAUUGGAAUGAGUACAAUUUAAAUCUCUCAACGAGGAACAAUUGGAGGGCAAGUCUGGUGUUUU
rnacentral:rRNA from 1 species